rnacentral:tRNA from 1 species
GGUUCCAUAGUGUAGCAGUUAGCACGUCUGCUUUACACACAGAAGGUCCUGGAUCGUGCCCCAGUGGAGCCA